rnacentral:rRNA from 1 species
GAUGAACGCUGGCGGCGUGCCUAAUACAUGCAAGUCGAGCGAACAGACGAGGAGCUUGCUCCUCUGACGUUAGCGGCGGACGGGUGAGUAACACGUGGAUAACCUACCUAUAAGACUGGGAUAACUUCGGGAAACCGGAGCUAAUACCGGAUAAUAUAUUGAACCGCAUGGUUCAAUAGUGAAAGACGGUUUUGCUGUCACUUAUAGAUGGAUCCGCGCCGCAUUAGCUAGUUGGUAAGGUAACGGCUUACCAAGGCAACGAUGCGUAGCCGACCUGAGAGGGUGAUCGACCACACUGGAACUGAGACACGGUCCAGACUCCUGCGGGAGGCAGCAGUAGGGAAUCUUCCGCAAUGGGCGAAAGCCUGACGGAGCAACGCCGCGUGAGUGAUGAAGGUCUUCGGAUCGUAAAACUCUGUUAUUAGGGAAGAACAAAUGUGUAAGUAACUAUGCACGUCUUGACGGUACCUAAUCAGAAAGCCACGGCUAACUACGUG